UUUUUUUUUUUCUUCUUUUUUGUGGGUGAAUAUUGAAAUCAUUUUAACAGAAUUUGUCUUAAAUUGGAGUCACAUGUCGGGUGUCAGUUUUCAAAGAAUAGAAAUCAGACAAGUUGCAUUUUAUGACCCACGCGGUACAGUGCCGCAGAGAUGUAAACAUUUAGCUUCAACCUUUCAAAUUCCUCAGUUUAAGUAAUCAGGGACUUCAUUGGCCCGGGAGGAAGGCAGAAGACGAAUCAGGUCACAUUUCUUCGCCACUGACUGGCCAUAGGGGGGAUGCUCUGCAGCCCCAGUGGCCUUCUGGUAGGGGCUUGCGGUUUUCAGCAGAUGCUGUUCCACAUCUGCAAUCUCCAUGCUAGGUCAUCACAGGAGACAGACUGCACGAGCGUGGACCAGGGGUGGCCAGUGGUGUGUUACUAACAGGCAGAGAGAGAAGAAUUGAAUCCAAAACCUGACCAAAUCUAGGUAUAUCCAUGCAGAUUGUAGAUUUUUUUUAAAAAUAAGAGGUGGAGAAAUUUAAAUUUCAGUUGAUAAAAUUGUUUAUCAAAAUUGUUCAUAAGAGGUGGGCCCUAGGAGUUUUGUUUUUAUUAUUGAAUAUCAAGAUUGAAACGAGAAAGGCGGGGAUGUACCUGGCAAGGGCAGCUCUAGAAUGGCCUGAGGUAAGCACACUGAUAAUUAUGAAGAGGGGCCUUGGAUUUGUGGGAGGGGAGCAAAGUGGAGGCCUUCGUGAUGUAUUAUUUUAUUUAUCUCUUAGAAAAUUGGUAGUGAUACGUAAUUUACAAUGUAAGAGGUCAAGGGGAAACUGAGCAGCAGCCCGAGGGACCAAUGCUAACACCCAGAUUUUAAGUUAUGCCAGUACCUGGAGCCCCCGUAUAAUGGGAAAUGUGCACUGGAGUAUUCAGGACUAGUGGGUCAUACUAUGUACAACUUAGAGAUGACAAACACUCAACACAUGGAGAUGCCGAUAGAGUACCACAGCCUAUUUCUAUGACUUUUGUGUACAUCUGAAACAAUUUCAAAAUAAAAUGUUAUAUGGGGG
rnacentral:lncRNA from 1 species